CUACGCACUCCUACGGGAGGCAGCAGUGGGGAAUAUUGCACAAUGGGCGCAAGCCUGAUGCAGCCAUGCCGCGUGUAUGAAGAAGGCCUUCGGGUUGUAAAGUACUUUCAGCAGUGAGGAAGGUGGGUAUGUUAAUAGCAUAUUCAUUUGACGUUAGCUGCAGAAGAAGCACCGGCUAACUCCGUGCCAGCAGCCGCGGUAAUACGGAGGGUGCGAGCGUUAAUCGGAAUUACUGGGCGUAAAGCGCAUGCAGGUGGUUGUUAAGUCAGAUGUGAAAGCCCGGGGCUCAACCUCGGAAUUGCAUUUGAAACUGGCAAACUAGAGUACUGUAGAGGGGGUAGAAUUUCAGGUGUAGCGGUGAAAUGCGUAGAGAUCUGAAGGAAUACCGGUGGCGAAGGCGGCCCCCUGGACAGAUACUGACACUCAGAUGCGAAAGCGUGGGGAGCAAACAGGAUUAGAUACCCUGGUAG
rnacentral:rRNA from 1 species